UAAUGAUAGUAAUCAAAAUAAUAAUAAUAAUGAUAUUAAACUGUACAAUUAUACGCGUAUAUGUAUACUCAUACACUAGAGGUCAAUGUCACGGAGUAUUAUCGGUUAAAUUUUCGCCAUUUCGUCGUUGUCGUUUACAAUAUUUUCUUUCCUCUUAUACAUGUUGUGUUUGUGUUCGCAGGGAAAAGAGAGGUAAAAAAAAAAAGUGUAGAAGAAAAACUUAUUUAUAUACAUCAUCGCGAAGGAGCGGAAAAAACGGCAGUUAUGUAUACAUAUGCAGAGGUAUACCCGUGAAGCCCGGAGAUUAUCCCGAAGGAUAAUCCGAUCCGAUCGUAUACUGUACGGAAGUCAUCGGUCACAGAUGUAUCCUCCCCGAGGAAUCUUUGGGAACGAGAUAUCGAGAUAUCGAGGGUGAUGAAAAGAAUAAAAAUGGGAAAUAAAGAAAGAAAGGAAAAUAUUGAAAACAGAAAAGCGAAGAUGGUUGAUAGAGGGCGGCCGAGGGCAGAGGUCACGGGGUUGGAGAGUUCGUUGGUUCGGAAUUCAGAGCACGUAGAUCGGGUCCUUGCAAACUGAUAUUCUGGCCUCCUGCAGAAUCCUUAAUCUAGGACCAAGAGGUUAUCGGGCGUUUGUUUUUGCUCUUUUUCUCUCU
rnacentral:lncRNA from 1 species